rfam:Oryza barthii chromosome 11, whole genome shotgun sequence.
AAAAAGACAAACCCUAGGUUUCCAUGUCCAACUUUGACUAUCCGUCUUAUAUGAAAUUUUUUUAUAAUUUAUAUUUUCAUUGUUGUUAGAUGAUAAAACAUAAUUAAUAUUUUAUGCGUGACUUGUCUUUUUAAUUUUUUUCAUAAUUUUUCCAAAUAAGACUGAUGAUCAAACAUUGGGCACAGAAACCAGGGUUUGUCUUUUU